UCCAAGUUAGGUGGUAUCUUCCUGG
rnacentral:piRNA from 1 species